GCAAGCGUUAAUCGGAAUUACUGGGCGUAAAGCGCACGCAGGCGGUUUGUUAAGUCAGAUGUGAAAUCCCCGGGCUCAACCUGGGAACUGCAUUUGAAACUGGCAAGCUAGAGUCUCGUAGAGGGGGGUAGAAUUCCAGGUGUAGCGGUGAAAUGCGUAGAGAUCUGGAGGAAUACCGGUGGCGAAGGCGGCCCCCUGGACGAAGACUGACGCUCAGGUGCGAAAGCGUGGGGAGCAAACGGGAUUAGAUACCCUGGUAGUCCACGCUGUAAACGAUGUCGAUUUGGAGGUUGUGCCCUUGAGGCGUGGCUUCCGGAGCUAACGCGUUAAAUCGACCGCCUGGGGAGUACGGCCGCAAGGUUAAAACUCAAAUGAAUUGACGGGGGCCCGCACAAGCGGUGGAGCAUGUGGUUUAAUUCGAUGCAACGCGAAGAACCUUACCUACUCUUGACAUCCAGAGAACUUUCCAGAGAUGGAUUGGUGCCUUCGGGAACUCUGAGACAGGUGCUGCAUGGCUGUCGUCAGCCCGUGUUGUGAAAUGUUGGGUUAAGUCCCGCAACGAGCGCAACCCUUAUCCUUUGUUGCCAGCGGUUCGGCCGGGAACUCAAAGGAGACUGCCAGUGAUAAACUGGAGGAAGGUGGGGAUGACGUCAAGUCAUCAUGGCCCUUACGAGUAGGGCUACACACGUGCUACAAUGGCAUAUACAAAGAGAAGCGACCUCGCGAGAGCAAGCGGACCUCAUAAAGUAUGUCGUAGUCCGGAUUGGAGUCUGCAACUCGACUCCAUGAAGUCGGAAUCGCUAGUAAUCGUAGAUCAGAAUGCUACGGUGAAUACGUUCCCGGGCCUUGUACACACCGCCCGUCACACCAUGGGAGUGGGUUGCAAAAGAAGUAGGUAGCUUAACCUUCGGGAGGGCGCUUACCACUUUGUGAUUCAUGACUGGGGUGAAGUCGUAACA
rnacentral:rRNA from 1 species